rnacentral:rRNA from 1 species
UGGGGCAUAUUGGUCAAUGGGGGAAACCCUGAUCCAGCCAUGCCGCGUGAGUGAAGAAGGCCCUAGGGUUGUAAAGCUCUUUCAGCGGGGAAGAUAAUGACGGUACCCGCAGAAGUAGCCCCGGCUAACUUCGUGCCAGCAGCCGCGGUAAUACGAAGGGGGCUAGCGUUGUUCGGAAUUACUGGGCGUAAAGCGCGCGUAGGCGGAUUGUUAAGUCAGGGGUGAAAUCCCGGGGCUCAACCCCGGAACUGCCUUUGAUACUGGCAAUCUGGAGUCCGGAAGAGGUUGGUGGAAUUCCGAGUGUAGAGGUGAAAUUCGUAGAUAUUCGGAGGAACACCAGAGGCGAAGGCGGCCAACUGGUCCGGUACUGACGCUGAGGCGCGAAAGCGUGGGGAGCAAACAGGAUUAGAUACCCCGGUAGUCC